CUUUUCUUCUUCUUCAUUAACACAUCACACAAAAAUCCCCUAUUCCCUUCAAGAUUCAUAGUGUUCUAGCAUAAACUUUUUUCCAUCAACACCCGCCACACAAAAUAAAGUGAAGUAGACUGGGGAUAUUAAUAACCAGGAGGACUAAGGAAGGAGAUUGGCAAGGGACCAGCAAAAGGACAAGGUAACGAUAAAGAAUCAUAUAAUUCCCACCAGGUGGAAAUGAAUAAACAGGUGGUAUGAGGUGAUCUCAUUUUUGGAAGCUUUAGGAGCUUUAUGUUUUGGUUUCGUUUAUUUGCAUUCAUUUGUACAUGAGUGCAUACUGGAUUUGUUGAAAUACUUUGUUACUAU